UUCCUACGGGAGGCAGCAGUGGGGAAUAUUGCACAAUGGGCGGAAGCCUGAUGCAGCAACGCCGCGUGCGGGAUGACGGCCUUCGAGUUGUAAACCGCUUUCGCCUGUGACGAAGCGUGAGUGACGGUAAUGGGUAAAGAAGCACCGGCUAACUACGUGCCAGCAGCCGCGGUGAUACGUAGGGUGCGAGCGUUGUCCGGAUUUAUUGGGCGUAAAGGGCUCGUAGGUGGUUGAUCGCGUCGGAAGUGUAAUCUUGGGGCUUAACCCUGAGCGUGCUUUCGAUACGGGUUGACUUGAGGAAGGUAGGGGAGAAUGGAAUUCCUGGUGGAGCGGUGGAAUGCGCAGAUAUCAGGAGGAACACCAGUGGCGAAGGCGGUUCUCUGGGCCUUUCCUGACGCUGAGGAGCGAAAGCGUGGGGAGCGAACAGGCUUAGAUACCCUGGUAGUCCACGCUGUAAACGGUGGGUACUAGGUGUGGGGUCCAUUCCACGGGUUCCGUGCCGUAGCUAACGCUUUAAGUACCCCGCCUGGGGAGUACGGCCGCAAGGCUAAAACUCAAA
rnacentral:rRNA from 1 species